rnacentral:lncRNA from 1 species
AUCACUGGAUUUAAUAUUUGCAAUUUACUUCAAGGUUUGGUAACCAAUUAGAGAGGCAACGCCGUUUUUCGUGAGUUAAAUUGCAGAAACCUGACCUUUACCAUUGAAUUGAGAUAAUAUUUUAUUAGAAGAAAGCAUGAUUCAUUGAGUUGGUGAGCUUCGGAUCUGUGCAAAGGAAAACUGGGAAGGACACAAAAAAUCUGGGCUGUGGAAAACCAUUGCCACACAGAGAAUCUCAAUCUGUGCACAGAAACAGCACAAAGGAAGAAAAUAUUUCCAAGGAAACAUCUGAUCAUAGCACUGGAGCCAAUUUUCAAGUUCACAUUUUUCCUUGCAUUUCGUUCCUGGCUGCUGACUUCCUGCUUCCUGUUCUCUUGCUGUUUAUAGGAUGAACAUUGAUUUUCAGGCGAUCUAAUUAACUGCUUCCUAGAGGUGAGUAAAUAUUAUUUUCAUGUUGUGCAUGAGAGAAGCAAAGCAAAAAUUAAGUCAUCUAUCAAUGGCUGUAGACUGAAUCAUUGCUGAGUGUAUUAGCAUUUGUAAAUCAUGAACUUUCCUGGUUUUCUUAGACUGCAGUCCUUUUUAAAACCACAGGUAAGAGUAAGAAUACAAGUAAAU